UACGUAGGGUGCAAGCGUUGUCCGGAAUUAUUGGGCGUAAAGAGCUCGUAGGCGGUUUGUUGUCGUCGGCUGUGAAAUCCCGAGGCUCAACCUCGGGUCUGCAGUCGAUACGAGCAAACUAGAGUGUUGCAGGGGAGACUGGAAUUCCUGGUGUAGCGGUGAAAUGCGCAGAUAUCAGGAGGAACACCGGUGGCGAAGGCGGGUCUCUGGGCAACAACUGACGCUGAGGAGCGAAAGCGUGGGGAGCGAACAGG
rnacentral:rRNA from 1 species